UGUUGCUCCUGUGAAAUUUGACAGUGAGAUUCCUUCUAUUUUUAGUGUAAUAGGAAAUGGCACCAAUAGUAUGCCAUAGUAUAUAUUUUGGGGGACAAAAAUACUAUGCUCAUUUCACCACUUUAUUCCUCUUUAUUUCAUGCAAUUUUAGGUAGAUGUGUAUACUAAAAUCCAACAGUAUCCCAAAGAAAGACUGUUAAGAAUAACAAAAAAACUAGCAUAUUAAUCUCUUUUCUUGGGAAUAUUGAAUAUAUUUCUUGUUACUUGUAUCUAAGUUCUGACUCUGAUUUUUACAGGGGAAACAAGGCAAACACAUUUUAUAUGGCUGCAGUGAGCUUUUUAAUGCUACACAGUUCAUAAAACAGUUGUCACAACUUGGACAAAAGUAACACAGAAGAACCUUACUAUGAUAAUCUACUUGGAAUGUGGAUAAAUGUAAAAAGAAGAAAAGUUAGAAGAGCAAUAUGUUUCCUUCUCUGUAACAGUGUCCUAACAGUGAAAAUCAGAGUUAUUUGUUAAUUUUUAAGGAAAUUAUAUACUUAAUAUGUAUUGAUUAAAAGAAACAUUUCAGAAA
rnacentral:lncRNA from 1 species